rnacentral:rRNA from 1 species
CCCUUAGAUGUUCUGGGCCGCACGCGCGCUACACUGACGACUGCAACGAGCUUAUAACCUUGGCCGAAAGGUCUGGGUAAUCUCCAAAUUUCGUCGUGAUGGGGAUAGAUUAUUGCAAUUAUUAAUCUUCAACGAGGAAUGCCUAGUAAGCGCAAGUCAUCAGCUUGCGUUGAUUACGUCCCUGCCCUUUGUACACACCGCCCGUCGCUCCUACCGAUUGAAUGGUCCGGUGAAGCGUUCGGACCGUGGCCUUUGGACGGUUCGCCGUCUGUUGGCUGCGGGAAGUUCGUUAAACCUUAUCAUUUAGAGGAAGGAGAAGUCGUAACA